AAAGUGGAUCAGGUGAUUGCGCGCUGACGCCGGCUUGCCGGAGCCAGUGCGAGGAAAGUCCGAGCUCCAUAGGGCAGGGUGCUGGUUAACUGCCAGUGAGGGUGACCUCAGGAAAGUGCCACAGAAAAAUACCGCCCCCACUUUUCAUACACAGGAUGCAGGAUCGUCGCCUACUUCGCAGCCCCACCACAGUUUCUUCGUCGCAGGAUCAGACUAUCUUCCCAGCACAUCCACAGUAGAUUUCUAGACGGGGGUAAGGGUGCAAAGGUGGUGUAAGAGACCACCAGCAAUUGAGUGAUCAAUUGGCUAGGUAAACCCCAUCCGGAGCAAGGCAAACAGGAGCAUGGGCGGCCCGUCCAGUCUCCGGGUAUGCUGCUUGAGACAUUCGGUAACGGAUGUCCCAGAGAGAUAAUCACCCCGCUUUCGCAAGGAAGCGGACAGAACUCGGCUUAUCGAUCCGCUUUCAUU
rnacentral:RNase_P_RNA from 1 species